ensembl:lncRNA
AAAAAAAAAAAAAAAGCUUUGAAACAAACAGGAUUGCACGGGUAUGGAUUUCCAGAACCAUCUGACAGUCUCCUUGCCAUCCGUCACAGUGGUAAAGGCAGCAGGGAGCAAAUUAAGCAAAGGCUAGAAUAGCACCCGCAUCUAACUGAGGAAAUAUGGGCAGAAAGGACCUGGCACUGUGAGAACACUUACAAAAACAGCAACACGAUUUAAUUUUAUAUAGCCUUUAAAACUAACGAUACAGCUAUCUUGUAACUCCAAUCCACGUUUCAGAACUGAUACAGAUAUUUGCAGAAAAGACAGAUCCCUAUGCCUGAAUGCACUCAGAAGAAAUUAAAGCUCAGACCCCACCUAAACUGCACUACGUGGCUGCUCCUGGAGCCAGGAGCCAGGUUCAGCAGUCCCAUGUGCCCUACCUUAGUCUCUGUAGCUGCCAUCACGUUACACCAUAAUGAACAGGAAAAUCACAUCACAAGCGGGGAGUGGGAUGGGACAAACAGAUAUCCAAGCCUUCGCAGCAGGAGAUGCUUUGGGCACUGUGUGCUCCCUAAAACAUGCACACUCUGCAGGUCCAUGGCUCUGUCAGCUUGCCAUGUUUGGUGUAUAGGCUGGAGGACAAGUGAACACGACCUGGCACAUGCAAUUAGGAAGCCAGUAACACCUGAGAAGAACAAUGGCUUAGCCUUAACUGGAUUUUUUCCACAUUAUUUAUUCAAAUUUUCAUUUUGGAAGAACGUUGACUAUGUCAAUACACAACCUGAUUUACAGACACCUUCCACAGCCUAUCCACUUACAGUCAAGGACUGUUCAGGGGAAUGCUCACACAGAGAGACCUCUGCCCUUUCCAAUAUUUCUCGUGCAGCAUUCAUUUCAGUGCUGCAAACAGGAGAUGUUAAGAAGAAAAAGCAGAGCCUCCCAGCAAGAAGGAUGAGGAAGGACACCCCAACAAAACCUGAAUUGCAUUACAGCUUUGAGUUAUUCACUUGAAGAAGCUGGAAUUUAACUAAGCAACAAACACUGCUAAGAAACUAUAAAGCUGCAAUGUCUGGACACACAUGAAAGGCAGUAUGAUUUCUGGUUUUGGUUGCUGGGUGUUCCAUGAACUAACCACAGUUUGUACCCUACUACAAAGGGCAUGUCUGUAUUUCUCACUUCUUACACCAGGAAACAGACAGCUAAAGCCACUAAGCCAAACAAAACCAUGGUACAUCAAUAUGUCACUAAAGCCCCAAAAAGGCUGAGCAAGAACAAGAAUUGUGUCAAACGUUUAAAAUCCCUCUGCUUCAACUUUGAAUUUCUCUCUCAAGUCAAGAGGAAUACAGCCAGAAAAUGCCAGAGAAAGCCAACAACACUAUUAGACCAUGCUUCUCUUUGAAAACACGCCUAUUUUGCACCAGACAGAUAGAAGAACACGUGUCUGUUCACGUCUCAAACUGGUUAUAUGUAAAGCCCUGCUGACAGAAUCCUGAGAAAUUUAUUACUAUUAACAGCAAAGCUUUAAUCCUGACCUAUCAGUGAACCACACAGCAACAAAAUGUGUGUUUUGAAGCGAGGGGACACCAGUACUGCAGCUUUUCCCAUGAGGAACAAAAUGCAACGCGAAGGAAGAAAUUGGCGCAUUACCUAAGUCCAUCCUCUCUUCCUCAGCCAGGUGAACAAUGUCACUGUUCUGUGGACAACAGAUAAUAACAGAGCUUAAGCUGCUGCACCCCAAAGCCACACAGGACUAUCUCACAGCAAACUUUAAAAUUCGGGUCACUACUUCUAGUCAUGCACCUGCAGCCAUUUGGCUGAGCUGCUCCCAGUCCUUCCACCUCCAAGCAAUUUAUGGGACUUCACCUGCUAAUUUG